GUGCCAGCAGCCGCGGUAAUACCGGCAGCCCAAGUGAUGGCCGCUGUUAUUGGGCCUAAAGCGUCCGUAGCUGGCCGCACAAGUCCGUCGGGAAAUCCGCCCGCUCAACGGGUGGGCGUCCGGCGGAAACUGCUCGGCUUGGGACCGGAGGACCCGAGGGGUACGUCCGGGGUAGGAGUGAAAUCCCGUAAUCCCGGACGGACCGCCGGUGGCGAAAGCGCCUCGGGAGGACGGAUCCGACGGUGAGGGACGAAAGCUAGGGUCUCGAACCGGAUUAGAUACCCUGGUAGUCC
rnacentral:rRNA from 1 species